ACGAACGCUGGCGGCAGGCCUAACACAUGCAAGUCGAACGCCGUAGCAAUACGGAGUGGCAGACGGGUGAGUAACACGUGGGAACAUACCCUUUGGUUCGGAAUAACUCAGGGAAACUUGAGCUAAUACCGGAUAAGCGCUUAGGCGGAAAGAUUUAUCGCCGAAGGAUUGGCCCGCGUCCGAUUAGCUAGUUGGUGAGGUAACGGCUCACCAAGGCGACGAUCGGUAGCUGGUCUGAGAGGAUGAUCAGCCACAUUGGGACUGAGACACGGCCCAAACUCCUACGGGAGGCAGCAGUGGGGAAUAUUGGACAAUGGGCGCAAGCCUGAUCCAGCCAUGCCGCGUGAGUGAUGAAGGCCCUAGGGUUGUAAAGCUCUUUUGUGUGGGAAGAUAAUGACUGUACCACAAGAAUAAGCCCCGGCUAACUUCGU
rnacentral:rRNA from 1 species